rnacentral:rRNA from 1 species
GGAUCAUUACAGAGUUAGGGUCCCUAGGGCCCGAACCUCCCAACCCUUUGUUUAAUCAACCUCUGUUGCUUCGGCGGGCCCGUCUUUAACGGACCGCCGGGGGACCACCGCCCGCGGUGUCCUCUGGCCCGCGCCCGUCGAGAGCCCACGUCUAAACUCUUGUCUAAAACGUGAUUGUCUGCCUAAAUUCAUAAUUAAAUAAAACGCAAAACUUUCAACAACGGAUCUCUUGGUUCUGGCAUCGAUGAAGAACGCAGCGAAAUGCGAUAAGUAAUGCGAAUUGCAGAAUUCCAGUGAGUCAUCGAAUCUUUGAACGCACAUUGCGCCCUUUGGCAUUCCGAAGGCAUGCCUGUUCGAGCGUCAUUGUCAGCCCUCAAGCCCCGUGCUUGGUGUUGGACGGCAUGGUCGAGUCUCCCCUCGACCCGUCCCAAAGACAAUGACGGCGGUCGAUGGUCCCCCGGCACACUGAGCUUUCUAAGCACGUGUCGGAUUAGGGUGCCCCGGCCCCGGUCUCCUCCUUGUAUAAGAAAUUUCACGGUUGACCUCGGAUCAGGUAGGAAUACGCGCUGAACUUAAGCAUAUCAAUAAGCGCAGGAAAAGAAACCAACAGGGAUUGCCUCAGUAACGGCGAGUGAAGCGGCAACAGCUCAAAUUUGAAAUCUGGCCUCUUGGGGUCCGAGUUGUAAUUUGUAGAGGAUGUUUUGGGCACCGCCUCGGUCUAAAUUUCUUGGAACAGAAUGUCAAAGAGGGUGAGAAUCCCGUCUUGGAUCGGCGGUAGGGCCUGUGUAAAACUCCUUCGACGAGUCGAGUUGUUUGGGAAUGCAGCUCAAAUUGGGUGGUAAAUUUCAUCUAAAGCUAAAUAUUGGCCAGAGACCGAUAGCGCACAAGUAGAGUGAUCGAAAGAUGAAAAGCACUUUGAAAAGAGAGUUAAACAGUAUGUGAAAUUGUUGAAAGGGAAGCGCUUGCAACCAGACUUGCGCGCGGUGGUUCCCGUGCCUUUUGGCUCGGGUACUCCAUCGUGUCCAGGCCAACAUCGGUUCUGGGGGCCAGUUAAAGGCCUGGGAAUGUACCUACCCACGGGUAGACUUAUAGACCAGGGUGCCAUGUGGCCUCCCGGGACCGAGGAACGCGCUUCGGCUCGGAUGUUGGCGUAAUGGUUGUCAGCGACCCGUCUUGAAACACGGACCAAGGAGUCUAACAUCUAUGCGAGUGUUUGGGUGUCAAACCCGGAACGCGUAAUGAAAGUAAACGGAGGUAGGAAGCUUCGGCUGCACUAUCGACCGAUCCUGAAGUUUACGGAUGGAUUUGAGUAAGAGCAUAGCUGUUGGGACCCGAAAGAUGGUGAACUAUGCCUGAAUAGGGUGAAGCCAGAGGAAACUCUGGUGGAGGCUCGCAGCGGUUCUGACGUGCAAAUCGAUCGUCAAAUUUGGGUAUAGGGGCGAAAGACCAAUCGAACCAU